UACAGGGGGGGCAAGCGUUGUUCGGAAUUACUGGGCGUAAAGGGCCAGUAGGCGGCCAACUAAGUCCGACGUGAAAUCCCCAGGCUUAACCUGGGAACUGCGUCGGAUACUGGAUGGCUUGAAUUCGGGAGAGGGAUGCAGAAUUCCAGGUGUAGCGGUGAAAUGCGUAGAUAUCGGGAGGAACACCGGUGGCGAAGGCGGCCCCCUGGUUGGAUACUGACGCUGAGACGCGAAAGCGUGGGAAGCAAACAGG
rnacentral:rRNA from 1 species